UACGAAGGGGGCUAGCGUUGCUCGGAAUCACUGGGCGUAAAGCGCACGUAGGCGGAUUGUUAAGUCAGGGGUGAAAUCCUGGAGCUCAACUCCAGAACUGCCUUUGAUACUGGCGAUCUCGAGUCCGGGAGAGGUGAGUGGAACUGCGAGUGUAGAGGUGAAAUUCGUAGAUAUUCGCAAGAACACCAGUGGCGAAGGCGGCUCACUGGCCCGAUACCGACGCUGAGGUGCGAAAGCGUGGGGAGCAAACAGG
rnacentral:rRNA from 1 species